rnacentral:rRNA from 1 species
AAUGAACGCUGGCGGCGUGCCUAACACAUGCAAGUCGAACGAGAAAGCCCGCAAGGGUGAGUACAGUGGCGCACGGGUGAGUAAUACAUAGGAAUCUGCCUCUGAGUGAAGAAUACCCUAGAGAAAUUUAGGUUAAUACUGCAUAAGCCCAGAAAUGGGGAAAGGUGGCCUCAAGCUACCGCUGAGAGAUGAGCCUAUGGCCUAUUAGCUAGUUGGUAGGGUAAAAGCCUACCAAGGCGAGGAUGGGUAGCCGGCCUGAGAGGGUGUACGGCCACACUGGGACUGAGGCACGGCCCAGACUCCUACGGGAGGCAGCAGUAGGGAAUCUUGCGCAAUGGACGAAAGUCUGACGGAGCAACGCCGCGUGAGUGAUGAAGGUUUUCGGAUCGUAAAACUCUGUUGUCAGGGAAGAACAAGUGCCGGAGUAACUGCCGGCGCCUUGACGGUACCUGACCAGAAAGCCACGGCUAACUACGUGCCAGCCGCCGCCGUAA